GACGAAUGCUAUAUCCUUUCCAGGCUGGUCUUCACUCAUCUGCUCUACCUACUGCUUUCUGCUUUGGGAAUGCUGAGUGACUUUACCCUGUAGAACCUGGGCCCAUCUGAAAGAGGAAGGGAUGAAGGCCAGCUGGGUUGGCUGGCUGAAUGAGUGUGUUGCAUGGAUGGAUCGUUGUUCACAUGCCUCAACACUUUCUGCGACUGGUCAGCUUGGUAGCAUUCAUUCUAGCAGUGGUCAGUCUGCUCCUCUCCUUGAAGCAGAAUGGGAGAGUGUGGAGGAAGGCAGGAGCAGAAGCAAUCUGGAAAUAUGCUUCCAAAUGGGUAAAAAUAAACAAAGAUUCAGACAUCUCAGCAAAACUGGAAGCCAAGAAAUCAAAAGAAACCUUCGGACAAUUGGAAAAAGCUUGAUCCCUGUAAGAAGCAAGCCCAUGUGUGUGCCUCAGUAAGAGUGGGGGAGAGACCAAAGGGCUUUGACCCUGUGGCCCCCCGCAUCACAGGUGUUCUGAGCAUCUGUGGACCAAGCUGAAGCUGGAAGGAAGCAGAACUUACCCAUCAAAGCUCUUCCCAUCACCGCCAUUUAUUAAAGAGGCAGU
ensembl:processed_transcript 4930449E01Rik RIKEN cDNA 4930449E01 gene